rnacentral:misc_RNA from 1 species
UCUCCGUAGGUGAACCUGCGGAGGGAUCAUUACAAGUGACCCCGGUCUAACCACCGGGAUGUUCAUAACCCUUUGUUGUCCGACUCUGUUGCCUCCGGGGCGACCCUGCCUUCGGGCGGGGGCUCCGGGUGGACACUUCAAACUCUUGCGUAACUUUGCAGUCCGAGUAAACUUAAUUAAUAAAUUAAAACUUUUAACAACGGAUCUCUUGGUUCUG